GACGAACGCUGGCGGCGUGCUUAACACAUGCCAGUCGAACGGAAAGGCCCUGCUUUUGUGGGGUGCUCGAGUGGCGAACGGGUGAGUAACACGUGAGUAACCUGCCCUUGACUUUGGGAUAACUUCAGGAAACUGGGGCUAAUACCGGAUAUGAGCUCCUGCUGCAUGGUGGGGGUUGGAAAGUUUCGGCGGUUGGGGAUGGACUCGCGGCUUAUCAGCUUGUUGGUGGGGUGGUGGCUUACCAAGGCUUUGACGGGUAGCCGGCCUGAGAGGGUUACCGGCCACAUUGGGACUGAGAUACGGCCCAGACUCCUACGGGAGGCAGCAGUGGGGAAUAUUGCACAAUGGGCGGAAGCCUGAUGCAGCAACGCCGCGUGCGGGAUGACGGCCUUCGGGUUGUAAACCGCUUUCGCCUGUGACGAAGCGUGAGUGACGGUAAUGGGUAAAGAAGCACCGGCUAACUACGUG
rnacentral:rRNA from 1 species